rnacentral:rRNA from 1 species
AGUGAACGCUGGCGGUAGGCCUAACACAUGCAAGUCGAACGGCAGCACAGUAAGAGCUUGCUCUUACGGGUGGCGAGUGGCGGACGGGUGAGGAAUACAUCGGAAUCUACUUUUUCGUGGGGGAUAACGUAGGGAAACUUACGCUAAUACCGCAUACGACCUACGGGUGAAAGCAGGGGAUCUUCGGACCUUGCGCGAGUGAAUGAGCCGAUGUCGGAUUAGCUAGUUGGCGGGGUAAAGGCCCACCAAGGCGACGAUCCGUAGCUGGUCUGAGAGGAUGAUCAGCCACACUGGAACUGAGACACGGUCCAGACUCCUACGGGAGGCAGCAGUGGGGAAUAUUGGACAAUGGGCGCAAGCCUGAUCCAGCCAUACCGCGUGGGUGAAGAAGGCCUUCGGGUUGUAAAGCCCUUUUGUUGGGAAAGAAAAGCAGCAGGUUAAUACCCCGCUGUUCUGACGGUACCCAACGAAUAAGCACCGGCUAACUUCGUG